ACACCUGUUAUUCUACCUGAAAACCAAUUUCAACCCCAUGUCCCCGAAGUUCCUUUUUCUGAGCAGGCUCUGGAGCCAAGAGCUGAACAAGAAACACCUCCUGAGGAGCUCUUUGAAGACUUCCUAAGCAGAUCCAGAGCACAAGUGUUCAGUAUCACAAUGGCUUACGAGAAAUCAGUGAGAGAAGAUGGCAGAGAAGUGACUGGAAAAACUGAAUCUCCCUCCCAGGAAGGAGUCAGGAGAGACUGUGUUGUUGUUGAGGGAAAAAUCCUAAAAACAAAGCGAAUGGAAACACGUUUUUCUGUGAGGGGGAUAAGAAAGGGAGGGGAGCACCCCCUUGUAUGGUUUAUGAGUCAUUUCCUGGUUUAAUUCUUCCUGUUUGUCCUUGGUUUUUCCACAAGUACCCAGUGAGGCCCGACCUUCCACCCUCACCACCCCUCCAGCGUCAUGAUUACUGCAGUCCUGGUGUUUGGGCGAAUGGCAGGGACUCUGGGGCACUUUGAUGUUCAAAGCUGUUAAAAUGACAUCUAAAUUUGCAAACUUU